rnacentral:rRNA from 1 species
UACGUAGGGGGCUAGCGUUGUCCGGAAUCAUUGGGCGUAAAGAGCGUGUAGGCGGCCCGGUAAGUCCGCUGUGAAAGUCGGGGGCUCAACCCUCGAAUGCCGGUGGAUACUGUCGGGCUAGAGUGCGGAAGAGGCGAGUGGAAUUCCUGGUGUAGCGGUGGAAAUGCGCAGAUAUCAGGAGGAACACCGAUUGCGAAGGCAGCUCGCUGGGACGUUACUGACGCUGAGACGCGAAAGCGUGGGGAGCAAACAGG